rnacentral:rRNA from 1 species
UGGGGAAUUUUGGACAAUGGGCGCAAGCCUGAUCCAGCAAUGCCGCGUGCAGGAUGAAGGCCUUCGGGUCGUAAACUGCUUUUGUACGGAACGAAAAGCCUCUCUCUAAUACAGGGGGGUGAUGACGGUACCGUAAGAAUAAGCACCGGCUAACUACGUGCCAGCAGCCGCGGUAAUACGUAGGGUGCAAGCGUUAAUCGGAAUUACUGGGCGUAAAGCGUGCGCAGGCGGUUUUGUAAGACAGUGGUGAAAUCCCCGGGCUCAACCUGGGAACUGCCAUUGUGACUGCAAGGCUGGAGUGCGGCAGAGGGGGAUGGAAUUCCGCGUGUAGCAGUGAAAUGCGUAGAUAUGCGGAGGAACACCGAUGGCGAAGCAAUCCCCUGGGCCUGCACUGACGCUCAUGCACGAAAGCGUGGGGAGCAAACAGGAUUAGAUACCCUGGUAGUCCACGCCCUAAAACGAUG